AGCUAGCAGCUGGCGGACGCGACCCGGAGGCGGUGGGGGUGCGGCUGGGCCAUGCCCGGUGGCGCGGCCUGAGCCCCUCCACCUGCUGCAAGCAUGAAGGACAGCGGGGACUCCAAGGACCAGCAACUCAUGGUGGCGCUUCGGGUCCGGCCCAUCAGCGUGGCAGAGCUGGAGGAAGGAGCUACCCUCAUCGCCCAUAAAGUGGAUGAGCAGAUGGUUGUUCUCAUGGACCCAAUGGAGGAUCCCGACGACAUCCUGCGGGCACAUCGCUCCCGGGAGAAGUCCUACCUGUUCGACGUGGCCUUUGACUUCACCGCCACCCAGGAGAUGGUGUAUCAGGCCACCACGAAGAGCCUCAUCGAAGGCGUCAUCUCAGGCUACAAUGCCACUGUCUUUGCCUAUGGCCCCACAGGCUGUGGGAAAACCUACACCAUGCUGGGCACAGACCAGGAGCCCGGCAUCUAUGUUCGGACCCUCAAUGACCUCUUCCAUGCCAUCGAGGAGACCAGCAAUGACAUGGAGUAUGAGGUCUCCAUGUCCUACCUGGAGAUCUACAAUGAGAUGAUCCGGGACCUGCUGAACCCCUCCCUGGGCUACCUGGAGCUGCGGGAGGACUCUAAGGGGGUGAUCCAGGUGGCCGGCAUCACCGAAGUUUCCACCAUCAAUGCCAAGGAGAUCAUGCAGCUGCUGAUGAAGGGGAACCGGCAGAGGACCCAGGAGCCCACGGCCGCCAACCAGACGUCCUCCCGCUCCCACGCGGUGCUGCAGGUGGCCGUGCGCCAGCGCAGCCGGGUCAAGAACAUCUUGCAAGAGGUGCGGCACGGCCGCCUGUUCAUGAUCGACCUGGCUGGCUCGGAGCGUGCCUCCCAGACACAGAAUCGUGGGCAGCGUAUGAAGGAGGGGGCCCACAUCAACCGCUCACUGCUGGCACUGGGCAACUGCAUCAACGCCCUGAGCGACAAGGGUAGCAACAAGUACAUCAACUAUCGCGACAGCAAGCUCACCCGGCUCCUGAAGGACUCUCUGGGAGGAAACAGCCGCACAGUGAUGAUCGCUCACAUCAGUCCUGCGAGCAGUGCCUUCGAGGAGUCCCGGAACACCCUGACCUAUGCCGGCCGGGCCAAGAACAUCAAGACGAGGGUGAAGCAGAACCUGCUGAACGUCUCCUACCACAUCGCCCAGUACACCAGCAUCAUCGCUGACCUGCGGGGCGAGAUCCAGCGACUCAAGUGCAAGAUUGAUGAGCAGACUGGGCGGGGCCAGGCCCGGGGCCGGCAGGAUCGGGGUGACAUCCGCCACAUCCAAGCCGAGGUCCAGCUGCGCAGCGGGCAGGGUGAGAAGGCCGGCAUGGGACAGCUUCGGGAGCAGCUCGCCAGCGCCUUCCACGAGCAGAUGGAUGUGCGGAGGCGCCUGCUGGAGCUGGAGAACCGCGCCAUGGAGGUCCAGAUUGACACCUCCCGACACCUGCUCACCAUCGCCGGCUGGAAGCACGAGAAGUCCCGCCGGGCCCUCAAAUGGCGGGAGGAGCAGCGAAAGGAGUGCUACACUAAGGACGACAGCGAGAAGGACUCAGACACAGGCGAUGACCAGCCAGACAUCCUGGAGCCGCCCGAGGUGGCCGCAGCCCGGGAGAGCAUUGCAACCCUGGUGGGCGAGCAGAAGCAGCUGCACAAGCAGAAGGUGUCCAGGGUUUGGGGGAGCAAGGAGAGUGGGUUUAGGGGACAGGGUGAGCAGGUUUGAGAGGCAAGGCGGAGGGGACGGGGUGGGAGUAGCCGUGAGACUUGGGAACUCAGGCCACAAAUGCUGUGUGACUUUGCUAAGUUCUGUAACUUCUCUGUGCGUCACAUUCCCCACCUGUAAAAUGGGAGCAGUCCACGGUGCAGCCCUCAUGGGGUUGCUGGGAAGAUUACAUAAAUGCCUGGCACAUACCAAGGACUCAAAAAAUGGUAACUAAUGUUAUAAUUAGGGUUUUUCAGGCCGGGCACAGUGGCUUACACCUGUAAUCUCAGCAUGGUGGGAAGUUGAGGUAGGCAGAUCACUUGAGGCCAGGCGUUCAGCCUGGCCAACAUGGCGAAAUCCCGUCUCUAC
rnacentral:sRNA from 1 species